UACGGAGGGGGCAAGCGUUAAUCGGAAUUACUGGGCGUAAAGCGCACGCAGGCGGAUUUAUAAGUCAGAUGUGAAAUCCCCGGGCUCAACCUGGGAACUGCAUCUGAUACUGGCAAGCUUGAGUCUCGUAGAGGUGGGUAGAAUUCCUGGUGUAGCGGUGAAAUGCGUAGAUAUCUGGAGGAAUACCGGUGGCGAAGGCGGCCCACUGGACGAAUACUGACGCUCAGGUGCGAAAGCGUGGGGAGCAAACAGG
rnacentral:rRNA from 1 species